CUCCCACACUGCAGGCAGACUCUUUUACCAUCUGAGCUUCCAGGGAAGCCCCAGAACUGCUACUUUGGUUUUGAAAAGCCUGUCGCUUUUGGAGAGAAGUGUAUCCAACAAAUACUACCUGGAAUCAUCCUUUGUCCAUGAAGAAAUACAUUCUGCUGUACCAAAUAUUAAAAAAUUGAAUAUUUGUUUCUUU